rnacentral:rRNA from 1 species
GCAUAAUAAAUAGUCUUUUAAUUGAUGACUGGAAUGAAAGGUUUAAAACUAAAAAGAGAGUUUUAUUUAAUUAUUUUGAAUUUAAAUUAAAAGUAAAAAUGCUUUUAUAAAUUUUUGGGACGAGAAGACCCUAGAAGCUUGAAAUUUAUUUUAUAAAUUUUUAGUUGGGGUAACAUUUGAAGAUAUUAAUUUUUAAAAUAUGAAAUUUAAUAAAAAUUAAGUUACUCUAGGGAUAACAGCAUUAUUUAAUUAACAAGUUCUUAUUAAUAAUUGAAGUUUGUGACCUCGAUGUUGAAUUAAUU